UACAGAGGUCUCAAGCGUUGUUCGGAUUCAUUGGACGUAAAGGGUGCGUAGGUGGCAUGGUAAGUCGGAUGUGAAAUCCCGGGGCUCAACCCCGGAACUGCAUUCGAUACUGCUGCGCUAGAGUACUGGAGAGGAGAUUGGAAUUUACGGUGUAGCAGUGAAAUGCGUAGAUAUUGGAAAGAACACCGAUGGCGAAGGCACUCUACUGGGCUAUUACUGACACUCAGAGACGAAAGCUAGGGGAGCAAAUGGG
rnacentral:rRNA from 1 species